AAAACAUUUCUCGUAUUGAAAAGUUGUAAACGGAUUGCGAAGUUAAAAAGGAUUUGUUUGAUCGUUUUAGGGAAUUUUAAUCCAAGAUAUGCCUGAAGAAAAAAGGUUCGAGGUUUUCAAAACAACCGGAUGCAAAGGAAUAAACAGUGGAACGUUACGACCUCAGUGAUGCAGCUACAGUCCGAGGAUGAUGACAAAAUCUGGAAGCUCAUUCGGAAAGGAAGCGUUUUGUUCUAAUUGCGGAAAUUUGAGCGCAGCUUCGUGCGACUUUUUUAUCGGGGCAUCUAUCAGGGCAUCUGAAGAAAAUGAGUCCAAAAGAAAAGCUCCCCUUGCGAUAAAAUUAUUGUACAAAAUAGUGACAUUUAGUACGGCAGGAAGUUAAAAUUACAAAUAAGUGUUUUCAAAUUCGAUGAUUAACAAGUCCCCUAGAUAUCGAAAAUAAAACUCAAAGACAUGUUUA